rnacentral:rRNA from 1 species
AACGAACGCUGGCGGCAUGCCUAACACAUGCAAGUCGAACGAAGCCUUCGGGCUUAGUGGCGCACGGGUGCGUAACGCGUGGGAAUCUGCCCUUUGGUUCGGAAUAACAGUUGGAAACGACUGCUAAUACCGGAUGAUGACGAAGGUCCAAAGAUUUAUCGCCAGAGGAUGAGCCCGCGUAGGAUUAGCUAGUUGGUGUGGUAAAGGCGCACCAAGGCGACGAUCCUUAGCUGGUCUGAGAGGAUGAUCAGCCACACUGGGACUGAGACACGGCACAGACUCCUACGGGGGGCAGCAGUGGGGAAUAUUGGACAAUGGGCGAAAGCCUGAUCCAGCAAUGCCGCGUGAGUGAUGAAGGCCCUAGGGUUGUAAAGCUCUUUUACCCGGGAUGAUAAUGACAGUACCGGGAGAAUAAGCCCCGGCUAACUCCGUGCCAGCCGCCGCAGUAA